rnacentral:rRNA from 1 species
CAGUAGCCGCGGGAAUACAGAGGUCUCAAGCGUUGUUCGGAUUCAUUGGGCGUAAAGGGUGCGUAGGUGGCUUGGUAAGUUGAAGGUGAAAUCUCGGGGCUUAACUCCGAAACUGCCUUCAAUACUGCUGAGCUCGAGGAUUGUAGAGGAGAAUGGAAUUCACGGUGUAGCAGUGAAAUGCGUAGAUAUCGUGAGGAAGACCAGUGGCGAAGGCGAUUCUCUGGGCAAUUCCUGACACUGAGGUACGAAGGCCAGGGGAGCAAACGGGAUUAGAUACCCCGGUAGUCCCUGUCUCUUAUAC